rnacentral:rRNA from 1 species
UACGUAGGGUGCGAGCGUUGUCCGGAAUUACUGGGCGUAAAGAGCUCGUAGGCGGUUUGUUGCGUCGGCUGUGAAAUCCCGAGGCUCAACCUCGGGUCUGCAGUCGAUACGAGCAAACUAGAGUGUUGCAGGGGAGACUGGAAUUCCUGGUGUAGCGGUGAAAUGCGCAGAUAUCAGGAGGAACACCGGUGGCGAAGGCGGGUCUCUGGGCAUUAACUGACGCUGAGGAGCGAGAGCAUGGGGAGCGAACAGG